GACAGCAGCCGCCGCGGGAACACGGAGGGCGCGAGCGUUACCCGGAUUUACUGGGCGUAAAGGGCGUGUAGGCGGCCUGGGGCGUCCCAUGUGAAAGGCCACGGCUCAACCGUGGAGGAGCGUGGGAUACGCUCAGGCUAGAGGGUGGGAGAGGGUGGUGGAAUCCCCGGAGUAGCGGUGAAAUGCGCAGAUACCGGGAGGAACGCCGAUGGCGAAGGCAGCCACCUGGUCCACUUCUGACGCUGAGGCGCGAAAGCGUGGGGAGCAAACCGGAUUAGAGACCCGUGUAGUCCCUGUCUCUUAUAA
rnacentral:rRNA from 1 species